rnacentral:rRNA from 1 species
AUUGAACGCUGGCGGCAGGCCUAACACAUGCAAGUCGAGCGGAGCGGCGGACGGGUGAGUAAUGCCUAGGAAUCUGCCUGGUAGUGGGGGAUAACGUCCGGAAACGGGCGCUAAUACCGCAUCCUAUCAGAUGAGCCUAGGUCGCAUUAGCUGUUUGGUGGGGUAACGGCCUACCAAGGCGACGAGCCGUAACUGGUCUGAGAGGUUGAUCAGUCACACUGGAACGGUGACACGGUCCAGACUCCUACGGGAGGUAGCAGUGGGGAAGAGUGGACAAGGGGCGAAAGCCUGAUCCAGCAUUGCCGCGUGUGUGAAGAAGGUCUUCGGAUUGUAAAGCACUUUAAGUUGGGAGGCGUUACCAACAGAAUAAGCAACGGCUAACUUCGUGCCAGCAGCCGCGGUAAGAG